AGUUAAAGCCAACGCAUAGGAAAGCUGGGUCCAAUCCGAUCUUGAUGCUAGCCAACCCAAGGUACUUGAGCUGACCUUAUCCAAUAUAACAGAUUGAUCUUCAAACCCCACACAGAUCUUCAAGUCCCGUGACUAUCGAAAAUAGCUAAGGAUGAGCGGAUAAGAAAUAAAUAACAAAUAUAUCUCUCCAGAAAGAUAAAAGACAACAAAUGUAUC
rnacentral:lncRNA from 1 species